UUUUUAGGCUUAAUUAAUUGAAAAUAAAUUUUAGAAAUAAAGCACUUUUAACAGUAUAUUGACAAAAUUACAAAUUCUAUUUUUGGUGUUUACAUACGCCGGUCAUAUAUUUCCGGUUUGAAUCACAUGAUGCGUUUUAUCGUCUCUUAGCCAAUCAGCAUAACAUCCAGAUUCUGGAUGUUGAACAUGGCUUUUGAGGCGAAUUGUGUCAGGCCCUCUUUCAAUAUCGAGGGCCUGAUACUCAGGUUAGACUUGGACUAAGUCUAAAUGACUUGUGACCUGAUGUGGACUUGCAAAAUAUUACGGAAAUCACAGAACUGUGGAAUCCAUAAAAAAUUCGUAUCGCCGCCACUCCCACGAACGUCUACGACAGCAUGUGCAUAUUUUUGCAUGUUUAAUACAAUUCUAAUUUUAAACAGCCAAUUACGAUUAAACGUCGAUUGGCUGUUUAAAAUUAGAAUUGUGAACGUGGCAAAAAUAUUCGUAGACGUUUGUGGGAGUGGUGGCGAUACGAAUUUUUUAUGCGUUUCCACAGUUCGGUGAGUUUCGUAAUAAGACUUGUUAACAACUAAAAUUACAAUCAUUUCAAGGGCUGCAUUUGAAAUAUUGCUUGUGAGUAAACGAUUACUUUUUUAGAUCUUGUGGAAAACUUUGAUGAACCAUCCAAGAAUGAAACAGUGUAAAAGCAGCAAUACAACAUCAGCAAUGUCGAAGUAUGAAUCAUUCCCUAGGAAACGACUCGCAUGCAACAGAACAUUGACAAAUAGAAAAGGCGCAACUAUACGGCAAUUAGAACAAUAUAAGCUACGCAUCAUUAUUUUAUAUUUCGUUUUAUUUUCAUUACCAGUUUGAAGAGUACUGCUAAAAUUGUAGUUCGAAUAAUAAAACAUGUAAACAUGAAUUACAACUUGUUUUAGGAAUAAAGUUUUUGACCGUGAUUCUUGCAGUAUGCGUUUUGCUUUUUUCGAGUGAUGUACGUUUUCGCCAAUUUCACAAGCAGUAUGCUGUACUGUAAACAUCUUGAACUGUCUUAGCCAGUGUAGGUAGUGCCAAUAAAAUGAACAAGCUUUCGUUGGUGGGAUGCAACUACCUGAAAAUAUAUCCGGAGAAUUUCGACGUUUCGAAACGUCGAAAUUCUCCUUAGGCCUAUAUGAUGUUUGUGAUGU